GUAAAAAUAAAACCUUUUUUUUUUUUUUUUUCUUUUUUUUUUUUUUAAAAAAGAUAUCAAAACACCAAAAUGAACUCGACAGGUAGCCGAUAGCGGCUCUCGUAGAGAACGAGUGGCGGACGGGUGAGUAAUGUAAUGGGAAACUGCCUGAUGGAGGGGGAUAACUACGGGAAACGGUAGCUAAAACCGCAUAACGUCGCAAGACCAAAGAGGGGGACCUUCGGGCCUCUUGCCAUCAGAUGUGCCCAGAUGGGAUUAGCUAGUAGGUGGGGUAACGGCUCACCUAGGCGACGAUCCCUAGCUGGUCUGAGAGGAUGACCAGCCACACUGGAACUGAGACACGGUCCAGACUCCUACGGGAGGCAGCAGUGGGGAAUAUUGCACAAUGGGCGCAAGCCUGAUGCAGCCAUGCCGCGUGUAUGAAGAAGGCCUUCGGGUUGUAAAGUACUUUCAGCGGGGAGGAAGGUGUUGUGGUUAAUAACCGCAGCAAUUGACGUUACCCGCAGAAGAAGCACCGGCUAACUCCGUGCCAGCAGCCGCGGUAAUACGGAGGGUGCAAGCGUUAAUCGGAAUUACUGGGCGUAAAGCGCACGCAGGCGGUCUGUCAAGUCGGAUGUGAAAUCCCCGGGCUCAACCUGGGAACUGCAUUCGAAACUGGCAGGCUGGAGUCUUGUAGAGGGGGGUAGAAUUCCAGGUGUAGCGGUGAAAUGCGUAGAGAUCUGGAGGAAUACCGGUGGCGAAGGCGGCCCCCUGGACAAAAGACUGACGCUCAGGUGCGAAAGCGUGGGGAGCAAACAGGAUUAGAUACCCUGGUAGUCCACGCCGUAAACGAUGUCGAUUUGGAGGUUGUGCCCUUGAGGCGUGGCUUCCGGAGCUAACGCGUUAAAUCGAACCGCCUGGGGAGUACGGCCGCAAGGUUUAAAACUCAAAUGAAUUGACGGGGGCCCGCACAAGCGGGUGGAGCAUGUGGUUUAAUUCGAAUGCAACGCGAAAGAACCUUACCUGGGUCUUGACAUCCACAGAACUUUCCAGGAGAUGGGAUUUGGUGCCUUUCGGGAACUUGUGAGACAGGUGCUUGCAUGGGCCUGUUCGUCCAGCUCCGUGUUUGUGAAAUGGUUGGGGUUAAAGUUCCCGCCACGAAGCGCCAACCCAUUUAUUCCUUUGGUUGACCAGCCGGGUUCAGGGCUCGGAGUAAACUCUCCAAAAGGAAGAGAGA
rnacentral:rRNA from 1 species